AGACGUCUACAUUAGAUACCCCCGUAGUCCCAGCCGUAAACUAUGCGCGUUAGGUGUAUCGGUGACCACGAGUUACCGAGGUGCCGAAGGGAAACCGUGAAACGUGCCGCCUGGGAAGUACGGUCGCAAGGCUGAAACUUAAAGGAAUUGGCGGGGGAGCACCACAACAGGUGGAGCCUGCGGUUUAAUUGGACUCAACGCCGGGAAGCUCACCGGAUGGGACAGCAGAAUGAUUGCCGGGCUGAAGACCCUGCAUGACUAGCUG
rnacentral:rRNA from 1 species